rnacentral:sRNA from 1 species
UGAUAUGCCGUUUUUUUUACCAAAAAUAG